rnacentral:tRNA from 1 species
GCUGAUGUAGCUCAGUCGGUAGAGCACUUCCUUGGUAAGGAAGAGGUCAUCGGUUCAAGUCCGAUCAUCAGCUC